GCUUAAUGNUUCACAGCUGGUUACUGCAAGUCGAGCGGGAAGUUCACGGACGUGAGUAAUGCUUAGGAAUCUGCCAUUAGUGGGGGACAACAUCCGAAAGGAAUGCUAAUACCGCAUACGUCCUACGGGUGAAAGCAGGGGAUCUCGGACCUUGCGCUAAUGAUGAGCCUAAGUCGGAUAGCUAGUUGGUGGGGUAAAGGCCUACCAAGUGCGACGAUCUAGUAGGCGGGUCUUGAGAGUGAUGAUCCUGCCACAACUUGGGACUUGAAGACAACGGGCCCAGNGACUCCUUACGGGGAAGGGCCAGCCAAGGUUGGGGGGAAUUAUUGGGGCACCAAAUGGGGCGNGAAAGCCCUGAAUUCCAGCCAUGCCGCGUGUGUGAAGAAGGCCUUAUGGGUUAGUAAAGCACUUUAAGCGAGGGAGGAGGGCUAACCAGGUAUUUAAUACUUACUGGCAUAGUGGACGUUACUCGCAGCAAUAAGGCACCGGCUAACUCUUGGUUAGCCAAGCCAGGCGCGCCGGNUAAAUACCAGGACGGGGUAGGCGAAGCCGUUUAAAUUCCGGGCAUUUACCUUAGGGGCGUUAAAAACGGCGGUGCCGGUUAAGGGCCGGGCGUUUUUAAAGGUCCGG
rnacentral:rRNA from 1 species